AUUGAACGCUGGCGGCAUGCUUUACACAUGCAAGUCGAACGGUAACAGGGAGCUUGCUCCGCUGACGAGUGGCGAACGGGUGAGUAAUGCAUCGGAACGUACCCAGUCGUGGGGGAUAACGUAGCGAAAGUUACGCUAAUACCGCAUACGUCCUGAGGGAGAAAGCGGGGGACCGAAAGGCCUCGCGCGAUUGGAGCGGCCGAUGUCGGAUUAGCUAGUUGGUGGGGUAAAGGCCUACCAAGGCGACGAUCCGUAGCGGGUCUGAGAGGAUGAUCCGCCACACUGGGACUGAGACACGGCCCAGACUCCUACGGGAGGCAGCAGUGGGGAAUUUUGGACAAUGGGCGAAAGCCUGAUCCAGCCAUGCCGCGUGAGUGAAGAAGGCCUUCGGGUUGUAAAGCUCUUUCAGACGGAAAGAAAUGGCUCCGGAUAAUACCUGGAGUCGAUGACGGUACCGUAAGAAGAAGCACCGGCUAACUACGUG
rnacentral:rRNA from 1 species